UAAAGCGUGCGCAGGCGGUUAUGUAAGACAGAUGUGAAAUCCCCGGGCUCAACCUGGGAAUGGCGAUGGUGACUGCAAGGCUAGAGUUUGGCAGAGGGGGUAGAAUUCCACGUGUAGCAGUGAAAUGCGUAGAUAUGUGGAGGAACACCGAUGGCGAAGGCAGCCCCCUGGGUCAAAACUGACGCUCAUGCACGAAAGCGUGGGGAGCAAACAGGAUUAGAUACCCCUGU
rnacentral:rRNA from 1 species